AAUAUUGCGCAAUGGGGGGAACCCUGACGCAGCAACGCCGCGUGAGUGAAGAAGGUUUUCGGAUCGUAAAGCACUGUCAUUGGGGAAGAAGGAGUGACGGUACCCAACGAGGAAGCCCCGGCUAACUACGUACCAGCAGCCGCGGUAAUACGUAGGGGGCGAGCGUUGUCCGGAAUUACUGAGCGUAAAGGGUACGUAGGCGGCUAUAUAAGUCAGGUGUGAAAUACCAGUGCUUAACACUGGAAUUGCAUUUGAAACUGUGUAGCUUGAGUGCAGGAGAGGAAAGUGGAAUUCCUAGUGUAGCGGUGAAAUGCGUAGAGAUUAGGAGGAACACCAGUAGCGAAGGCGACUUUCUGGACUGUAACUGACGCUGAGGUACGAAAGCGUGGGUAGCGAACA
rnacentral:rRNA from 1 species